CCUACGGGUGGCAGCAGUGGGGAAUAUUGCGCAAUGGGCGAAAGCCUGACGCAGCGACGCCGCGUGAGGGAUGAAGGUCUUCGGAUCGUAAACCUCUUUCAGCAGGGAGGAACGGUCACUGUGCUACUCACCAUUGAAUUGACGGUACGUGCAAAGGACGCACCGUCUAACUCCGUGCCGGCAGCCACGGUGAUACGUCGGUGGCCAGCGUUAUCCGGAUUUGUUGGUCGGAAAGGGAACGCAGGCGGGCGUUUAAGUCUGAUGUGAAAGCCUUGGGCUUAACCGUAGGAGUGCAUUUGAAACUGGGAGACUGGAGUGCGGGAGAGGUGAGCGGAAUGCGAGGUGUAGCGGUGAAAUGCGUAGAUAUAGCGCAGAACACCGGUGGCGAAGGCGGCUUGCUGGUGCGUAACUGACGCUGAGGCUCGAAAGCGUGGGUAGCAAACAGGAUUAGAUACCCGGGUAGUC
rnacentral:rRNA from 1 species